AAGUAUAUGCAUAUUUUAUAUGUAGAAACUGCGAACGGCUCAUUAAAACAGUUAUAAUCUACUUGACAUUUUCUAUAUAAGGAUAACUACGGAAAAGCUGUAGCUAAUACUUGCUUUAGCACCCUUGAUUUAUUUCUUGAGUGUGUACUUGUUAAGCCUUAUAAGAAAAGAGUUAUUAACUUAAGGAAUUAUAACAAAGAAGUGACACGUAAUGGAUUAGUCCAUUUUUUAGUGUAUAUCAAUCGAGUUUCUGACCUAUCAGCUUUUGAUGUUAGGGUAUUGGCCUAACAUGGCUAUGACGGGUAACGGGGAAUUAGAGUUCGAUUCCGGAGAGGGAGCCUGAGAAAUAGCUACCACAUCUAAGGAAGGCAGCAGGCGCGUAAAUUACCCAAUUCUAAAGAAGAGAGGUAGUGACAAGAAAUAACAAUACAAGGCCAAUCUGGCUUUGUAAUUGGAAUGAUGGGAAUUUAAAACCUUCCCAAAAUUCAAUUGGAGGGCAAGUCUGGUGCCAGCAGCCGCGGUAAUUCCAGCUCCAAUAGCGUAUAUUAAAAUUGUUGCAGUUAAAACGCUCGUAGUUGAAUUUCAAAGAACCUAUAUUUUAAUGAUGCUGUUAGCGAGAGCCACAAAAAAGCGAAUUCCAAUAUAUGUUUUCUGCUUUAUGUGCGCAUCCUCUACCUAUUAAGUGUUAAUUAAAUUAAAGGGUUUCUUUUUAAAAUCUUCUAUAACUAAUAAAAAAAUAUGGAAGAUUUUGUUACUUUGAGUAAAUUAGAGUGUUCAAAGCAAACAGAUAUAUAGCAUUUGUGCGUUUGAAUACUACAGCAUGGAAUAACAAAAUUGAACAGGUCAAAACUAUGUUUCUUUUUUUUUAUUUUUGGCUUAGUUACGAUUAAUAGGAGUAGUUUGGGGACAUUUGUAUUCAGAUGUCAGAGGUGAAAUUCUAAGAUUUUCUGGAGACAAACAACUGCGAAGGCAUUUGUCUAAAAUACUUCCAUUAAUCAAGAACGAAAGUUAAGGGAGUGAAGACGAUCAGAUACCGUCGUAAUCUUAACCAUAAACUAUACCGACUAGGUUUUGGAUGAAAGUAAAACAAAUAAGGAUAGUCUCUUCGGGGAUAGUUCUUAGAUUUCUUCCUUCAGUACCUUAUGAGAAAUCAAAGUCUUUGGGUUCUGGGGCGAGUAUUCGCGCAAGCGAGAAAGUUAAAAGAAUUGACGGAAGGGCACCACCAGGCGUGGAGCUUGCGGCUUAAUUUGACUCAACACGGGAAAACUCACUAGUUUAAGACAAGAGUAGGAUUGACAGAUUAAUAGCUCUUUCUUGAUUUCUUGGAUGGUGAUGCAUGGCCGUUUUUAGUUCGUGAAUAUGAUUUGUCUGGUUAAUUCCGAUAACGAACGAGAUCUUAACCUGCUAAUUAGCGGCAAAUACGAUAUAUUCUUAUGUAGAAUUGAAUAUAGUGGAUUUGUUGGAUUUUGAAGAAAAUAUUGGAAUUACGUUAAAUGUGAUUCCUUUCCCUUUUCUACUUAAUUUACAUUUCCAUCUAUUUCUUUUUUGCGUAUGAAUGUAUUUGCUUGAUUGUAAAGCUUCUUAGAGGAACGAUGUGUGUCUAACACAAG
rnacentral:rRNA from 1 species